UACAGAGGGUGCGAGCGUUAAUCGGAGUAACUGGGCGUAAAGGGCACGUAGGCGGUUAUAUUAGUCUGAUGUGAAAGACCUUGGCUUAACCUGGGAUGUGCAUUGGAAACGGUAUGGCCAGAGUAUGGGAGAGGGAAGUGGAAUUUCCGGUGUAGCGGUGAAAUGCGUAGAGAUCGGAAAGAUCACUCGUGGCGAAGGCGGCUUUCUGGCCCAAAACUGUCGCUGAGGUGCGAAAGCGUGGGGAGCAAACAGG
rnacentral:rRNA from 1 species